UAGGGAAUCUUCCGCAAUGGACGCAAGUCUGACGGAGCAACGCCGCGUGAGUGAAGAAGGAUUUCGAUUCGUAAAACUCUGUUGUUAGAGAAGAACAGCGCAUAGAGUAACUGUUAUGCGUGUGACGGUAUCUAACCAGAAAGCCACGGCUAACUACGUGCCAGCAGCCGCGGUAAUACGUAGGUGGCAAGCGUUGUCCGGAUUUAUUGGGCGUAAAGCGAGCGCAGGCGGUCAAUUAAGUCUGAUGUGAAAGCCCCCGGCUCAACCGGGGAGGGUCAUUGGAAACUGGUUGACUUGAGUGCAGAAGAGGAGAGUGGAAUUCCAUGUGUAGCGGUGAAAUGCGUAGAUAUUAGGAGGAAUACCAGUAGCGAAGGCGACUUUCUGGACACAAACUGACGCUGAGGUACGAAAGCGUGGGGAGCAAACAGG
rnacentral:rRNA from 1 species